GACGGGGGAUGCAAGUGUUAUCCGGAAUCACUGGGCGUAAAGCGUCUGCAGGUGGUUUCCUAAGUCCACUGUUAAACCUUGAGGCUCAACCUCAAAUCUGCAUUGGAAACUAGGAGACUUGAGUAUAGUAGGGGUAGAGGGAAUUUCCAGUGGAGCGGUGAAAUGCGUAGAUAUUGGAAAGAACACCGAUGGCGAAGGCACUCUACUGGGCUAUUACUGACACUCAGAGACGAAAGCUAGGGUAGCAAAUGGG
rnacentral:rRNA from 1 species